rnacentral:rRNA from 1 species
GACAGAGGGUGCAAACGUUGUUCGGAUUUACUGGGCGUAAAGCGCGUGUAGGCGGCUUUGCAAGUCGGAUGUGAAAGCCCACGGCUCAACCGUGGAAGUGCAUCCGAAACUGCAUGGCUCGAGUCUCGGAGAGGAAGGUGGAAUGCUUGGUGUAGAGGUGAAAUUCGUAGAUAUCAAGCAGAACACCUGCGGCGAAGGCGGCCUUCUGGACGAUGACUGACGCUGAGACGCGAAAGCGUGGGGAGCAAACAGG